rnacentral:rRNA from 1 species
GGAAGUAAAAGUCGUAACAAGGUUUCCGUAGGUGAACCUGCGGAAGGAUCAUUAUCCAUCUCACCAGGUGUGGUUGCGGCCCCCGGGGGCGUGGGCGUCUUCUGGCGUCCUCUCUCCCGGGCGGUAGGGGUAACACUCUCACGCGCCACAUUUCUGAAUCCUUUUUUUACGAGCACCUUUCGUUCUCCUUCGGUGGGGCAACCUGCCGCUGGAACUUAUCAAACUCUUCUGCAUCUAGCAUUACCUGUUCUGAUACAAACAAUCGUUACAACUUUCAACAAUGGAUCUCUUGGCUCUGGCAUCGAUGAAGAACGCAGCGAAAUGCGAUAAGUAGUGUGAAUUGCAGAAUUCAGUGAAUCAUCGAAUCUUUGAACGCACAUUGCGCCCCUUGGUAUUCCAUGGGGCAUGCCUGUUCGAGCGUCAUCUACACCCUCAAGCUCUGCUUGGUGUUGGGCGUCUGUCCCGCCUUUGCGCGUGGACUCGCCCCAAAUUCAUUGGCAGCGGUCCUUGCCUCCUCUCGCGCAGCACAUUUGCGCUUCUCGAGGUGCGCGGCCCGCGUCCACGAAGCAACAUUACCGUCUUUGACCUCGGAUCAGGUAGGGAUACCCGCUGAACUUAA